rnacentral:rRNA from 1 species
GACGAACGCUGGCGGCGUGCCCAAUACAUGCAAGUCGAGCGCAGGAAACUGACGGAACUCUUCGGAGGGAAGGCAGUGGAAUGAGCGGCGGACGGGUGAGUAACACGUAAGGAACCUGCCUCAAGGAUUGGGAUAACUCCGAGAAAUCGGAGCUAAUACCGGAUAGUUCAACGGACCGCAAGGUCCGCUGAUGACAGGCGCUUCGGCGUAACCCUGAGAUGGCCUUGCGGUGCAUUAGCUAGUUGGUGGGGUAACGGCCCACCAAGGCGACGAUGCAUAGCCGACCUGAGAGGGUGAUCGGCCACACUGGGACUGAGACACGGCCCAGACUCCUACGGGAGGCAGCAGUAGGGAAUCUUCCACAAUGGACGAAAGUCUGAUGGAGCAACGCCGCGUGAGUGGUGAAGGUUUUCGGAUCGUAAAACUCUGUUGUAAGGGAAGAACACGUACGAGAGGAAAUGCUCGUACCUUGACGGUACCUUACGAGAAAGCCACGGCUAACUACGUGCCAGCCGCCGCAGUAACAC